CUCCACCUACGGGGGGCAGCAGUGGGGAAUAUUGCACAAUGGGCGCAAGCCUGAUGCAGCGACGCCGCGUGCGGGAUGGAGGCCUUCGGGUUGUAAACCGCUUUUGUUCAAGGGCAAGGCACGGUCUUUGGCCGUGUUGAGUGGAUUGUUCGAAUAAGCGCCGACCAACUACGUGCCAGCAGCCGCGGUAAUACGUAGGGUGCAAGCGUUAUCCGGAUUUAUUGGGCGUAAAGGGCUCGUAGGCGGUUCGUCGCGUCCGGUGUGAAAGUCCAUCGCUUAACGGUGGAUCCGCGCCGGGGACGGGG
rnacentral:rRNA from 1 species